rnacentral:rRNA from 1 species
UACGUAGGGCGCAAGCGUUGUCCGGAAUUAUUGGGCGUAAAGAGCUCGUAGGCGGCCUGUUGCGUCCGCUGUGAAAUCCCGGGGCUCAACCCCGGGCCUGCAGUGGAUACGGGCUGGCUAGAGGCAGGCAGGGGAGACUGGAAUUCCUGGUGUAGCGGUGAAAUGCGCAGAUAUCAGGAGGAACACCGAUGGCGAAGGCAGGUCUCUGGGCCACUACUGACGCUGAGAAGCGAAAGCAUGGGGAGCGAACAGG